rnacentral:rRNA from 1 species
GAUGAACGCUGGCGGCGUGCCUAAUACAUGCAAGUCGAGCGAACGGACGAGAAGCUCGCUUCCCUGAUGUUAGCGGCGGACGGGCGAGUAACACGUGGAUAACCUACCUAUAAGACUGGGAUAACUUCGGGAAACCGGAGCUAAUACCGGAUGAUAUUUUGAACCGCAUGGUUCAAAAGUGAAAGACGGUCUUGCCGUCACUUAUAGAUGGAUCCGCGCUGCAUUAGCUAGUUGGUAAGGUAACGGCUUACCAAGGCAACGAUGCAUAGCCGACCUGAGAGGGUGAUCGGCCACACUGGAACUGAGACACGGUCCAGACUCCUACGGGAGGCAGCAGUAGGGAAUCUUCCGCAAUGGGCGAAAGCCUGACGGAGCGACGCCGCGUGAGUGAUGAAGGUCUUCGGAUCGUAAAACUCUGUUAUUAGGGAAGAACAUAUGUGUAAGUAACUGUGCACAUCUUGACGGUACCUAAUCAGAAAGCCACGGCUAACUACGUG